CAGGUUAUCAGUUGGUAUAAAG
rnacentral:miRNA from 12 species